GCCCAGGUGGCGAAAUUGGUAGACGCACCACUUUGAGGGGGUGGCAUUCGCAAGGAUGUGGCAGUUCGAAUCUGCUCCUGGGCAC
rnacentral:tRNA from 1 species